GUUUAUCAAGGAAUCUAUGACAACACGACCCUUAGGUUCCUAUGAAAGAAACAAAAGUGGGUUACACGCAGGUUCAUAGUGCAUUGACGAUUUAAGUCUAUAUGCCAUGAAAUACAAUAAUGAUAGUUAGUAAUAAUGACAAACCUUGGGUAAGUUCUUCCAUGAAUACUAAAAUUAUGGUGAAACUUAAUGUAUCUGCUAGAACUG
rnacentral:ncRNA from 1 species